AUUGGACGCUGGCGGCAUGCCUUACACAUGCAAGUCGAACGGCAGCACGGGAGCAAUCCUGGUGGCGAGUGGCGAACGGGUGAGUAAUGUAUCGGAACGUGCCCAGUCGUGGGGGAUAACGUAGCGAAAGCUACGCUAAUACCGCAUACGAUCUAUGGAUGAAAGCGGGGGACCGUAAGGCCUCGCGCGAUUGGAGCGGCCGAUAUCAGAUUAGGUAGUUGGUGGGGUAAAGGCUUACCAAGCCGACGAUCUGUAGCUGGUCUGAGAGGACGACCAGCCACACUGGGACUGAGACACGGCCCAGACUCCUACGGGAGGCAGCAGUGGGGAAUUUUGGACAAUGGGCGCAAGCCUGAUCCAGCAAUGCCGCGUGCAGGAUGAAGGCCUUCGGGUUGUAAACUGCUUUUGUACGGAGCGAAAAGGCUCUCUCUAAUACAGGGGGCUCAUGACGGUACCGUAAGAAUAAGCACCGGCUAACUACGUGCCAGCAGCCGCCGUAAAAC
rnacentral:rRNA from 1 species